AUGCCGCUAUCAGACUCCAGGCCGCGUCGUGUUGAUCAGCAACCAGCCAUUGAUAAGCUGGCCAAACACAUGGGAGGGUGGAAGGCUAGGCAUAUAGCGUUGCCCGGACGUGUCGAGCUCGUGCGUGCCACCCUAUCGGCCAUGAUCAUCUUUCAGCUUAUGGUGCUGGAUCCCCCAAUGUGGCUUCUUAAAAAGGUAAACAAGCUGCUCCGUGGCUUCCUUUGGGCUCAGGAUGAGGAGGCCGCGGCUAGUAGAUGCUUGGUGAACUGGUCUGCUGUCUCCCGCCCGCGCGAGUUCGGUGGUCUUGGCAUCCUGGACAUUCAGAAGCAAGGGAGAGCUCUGCGCUGCCGCUGGCAAUGGUAUCACUGGACGGAUCCUACUAGGCCAUGGCAUACUCUGCCCUUGCCCGCGGACCCUUCUGCCGACGGGCUCUUUCACGCAUCAACGACCAUCGUUGUUGGGGACGGCAGACUUACAUCGUUCUGGGACUCCCACUGGGCGAACGGGCUACGCCCCGUGGAUCGAUGGCCGGAGCUGCUGCGCCACUGCACCAAGCGCCGCCUCUCCCUUCGGGAGGCUGUCACUGGCAAUCGGUGGAUGCGACUUCUGAAGCCGAAUCCUUCCUCUUUGGUGCUCAGACAGUUGUGCAGCCUGACGGAGUUGGCCAGUGGAAUCAACUUCAACGACAGUGUGGCAGACCAUGUCAUCUGGCGUUGGACGGCGGACGGUACUUACACUGCCAAAUCGGCAUAUCGAUGCCAAUUUGAAGGAGCUCUGCGACCAGACGACAAGACGCUAAUCUGGUCUUCCAAGGUUGCGCCACGGGUGAAGACGUUCCUCUGGCUCGCUGCCCGUGGACGGUGCCUCACAGCAGAUAACCUGGUUGUUCGAGGCAUUGCGCACAACCCAGUUUGCCUGCUCUGCUUAGCUGCACCGGAGAUGGCCAAACACCUGCUGGUAGAGUGCACCUAUACCAAGCGGCUGUUGAUGGGUAUCACUGACAAUCUUGGAGGCUCCUUCCUGCAGCUCAGGCAAAUGGUGGCUGCACCACUGCCAAGCCAAACUCUGAAAGACAAUUGGAGCGCGCAGCUACGCUUGCUCCAGGGUGAGGAAAAGAAGACCUGGAAAUCGGCCAUCUGCUUGGUUUCGUGGAUGCUUUGGAAAGAACGCAACAACCGCGUCUUCAACGCCGCCGAGUGCACUGUUCCACAGCUCAUGGGACGCAUCAAGGAUGAGGCGAGAAGCUGGUCGGCGGCUGGUAUAAACCUGUUAGACAGACUCUUUGAGCCACCUUGA
rnacentral:rRNA from 1 species